UUAGAGUUUGAAUCCUGUCUCAGGAUGAACGCUGGCGGCGUGCCUAAUACAUGCAAGUCGAGCGAAUGGAUUGAGAGCUUGCUCUCAAGAAGUUAGCGGCGGACGGGUGAGUAACACGUGGGUAACCUGCCCAUAAGACUGGGAUAACUCCGGGAAACCGGGGCUAAUACCGGAUAACAUUUUGAACUGCAUGGUUCGAAAUUGAAAGGCGGCUUCGGCUGUCACUUAUGGAUGGACCCGCGUCGCAUUAGCUAGUUGGUGAGGUAACGGCUCACCAAGGCAACGAUGCGUAGCCGACCUGAGAGGGUGAUCGCGCCACACUGGGACUGAGACACGGCCCAGACUCCUACGGGAGGCAGCACGUAGGGAAUCUUCCGCAAUGGACGAAAGUCUGACGGAGCAACGCCGCGUGAGUGAUGAAGGCUUUCGGGUCGUAAAACUCUGUUGUUAGGGAAGAACAAGUGCUAGUUGAAUAAGCUGGCACCUGACG
rnacentral:rRNA from 1 species